rnacentral:rRNA from 1 species
CUACGUGCCAGCAGCCGCGGUAAUACGGAAGGUUCAGGCGUUAUCCGGAUUUAUUGGGUUUAAAGGGAGCGUAGGCUGGAGAUUAAGUGUGUUGUGAAAUGUAGACGCUCAACGUCUGAAUUGCAGCGCAUACUGGUUUCCUUGAGUACGCACAACGUUGGCGGAAUUCGUCGUGUAGCGGUGAAAUGCUUAGAUAUGACGAAGAACUCCGAUUGCGAAGGCAGCUGACGGGAGCGCAACUGACGCUUAAGCUCGAAGGUGCGGGUAUCAAACAGGAUUAGAUACCCUGGUAGUCCGCACAGUAAACGAUGGAUGCCCGCUGUUGGUACCUGGUAUCAGCGGCUAAGCGAAAGCAUUAAGCAUCCCACCUGGGGAGUACGCCGGCAACGGUGAAACUCAAAGGAAUUGACGGGGGCCCGCACAAGCGGAGGAACAUGUGGUUUAAUUCGAUGAUACGCGAGGAACCUUACCCGGGCUUGAA